GGAAUACCUCCGGGAAACUGGAGACAAUACCGCAUAAGCUCGAAAGAGGAAAGCAGCAAUGCGCUUUCAGCCGCAUCGGCGGCAGAUUAGCUAGAUGGUGAGGUAAUGGCUCACCAUGGCGAAGAUCUGUAGCCGGCCUGAGAGGGCUCACGGCCACACUGGCACUGAAACACGGGCCAGACUCCUACGGGAGGCAGCAGUGGGGAAUCUUGC
rnacentral:rRNA from 1 species